AUAUAAACCCUGUGUAUGUUCAGCUUGGCUGGUCCAGCUGCUUCCUUCAAAUAAACUCCUUCGGUUGAGCUUUGCAUGAAGAUCUUUUGUGGUGGCAGCAGAGCAGAGGCGACCCUGGGCAGAGCAGAGCAGAGUUGGUCCUUGCAGCCAGCUGAAAGCCUCCCAGUCAGUCUGAUAACCUAUACUGAAGCCAGAAUCUCCUGGAAAUCUGCUCUGGUCUCUUCAUUGGCCUCGUUUGUUGUUGGAGAGUUACUAUUCCAGCUGAACCAAAGUCAAGACAACUAGCCAAAAACACGUUUAGUGCUCAAUUUUGUUUUGUAUAACCCUAAUUAUGAUUCAGAAUCUACAUGUCCUCAGUCGGAAACUAGGGAGUAAGAAACAGCUAUACAUCCGUGUUUAUCACCGUAUACUUCACAAUAGACAAGGAGUAGAGAAACCUAAGGAUCCAUCAGGAGGUCACCAUUCUGUUGGAAGUAUCGGGUGAUUCGAAGUGGCACUUUAUUCCCAGGAACUGCCGUUGGCAAAGCUGAGCAAUGCUUUUUUUUUUAAAAACGUGUAUCUACAUUGGGUGUGUUGUUAUUGCCCCUAAGAAGAACAGUGACUAUUACUGAUGAAUCUGCGGCGUGCUGGCGGACGCAGCUGAGCAGCAUGGAUUUGGCCAGUCAAGGUCUGGGAGCCGCUAAGGGCGGAUGAGUGCUCUCUGGAGAAUCGAGCUAGUUUGUCUAGGCUCUGAAAUGCCAGGAGUACCUUGUGUGCCGCUGCAGCUUGGCAGGUGUUCUAACGGUGCUCUCCAGGACUUUCCUUGGUUUUUGUAUAUGGUCCCUAUAAUCCCAACAUGCGUGCUGUUAUUUAUUUUUUUGGAUUGCUAUCUUUACCCAUACAAGCACAUAGUUUACAUAGUUUUACAUAUGCUACUAAUAUAUUUUCUUGAUUCCUUUUUUCUUUUCAUCGAAAAUCUUACC